rnacentral:rRNA from 1 species
UACGAAGGGGGCUAGCGUUGCUCGGAAUUACUGGGUGUAAAGCGCGUGUAGGCGGGAGGCCAAGUCUGUGGUGAAAUCGCUCGGCUUAACUGGGCGGGGUCCAUGGAAACUGGUCACCUGGAGGUCGGUAGAGGCAAGUGGAAUUCCCGGUGUAGUGGUGAAAUGCGUAGAGAUCGGGAGGAACACCAGUGGCGAAGGCGGCGACCUGGACGGACACUGACGCUGAGACGCGAAAGCGUGGGGAGCAAACAGG